UACGAAGGGGGCUAGCGUUGCUCGGAAUUACUGGGCGUAAAGGGCGCGUAGGCGGAUAUUUAAGUCGGGAGUGAAAGCCCAGGGCUCAACCCUGGAAUUGCCUUCGAUACUGGAUAUCUUGAGUUCGGGAGAGGUGAGUGGAAUGCCGAGUGUAGAGGUGAAAUUCGUAGAUAUUCGGCGGAACACCAGUGGCGAAGGCGACUCACUGGCCCGAUACUGACGCUGAGACGCGAAAGCGUGGGGAGCGAACGGG
rnacentral:rRNA from 1 species